rnacentral:ribozyme from 14 species
UUUUUUUUGUUUCCAUUUUUUGUUUCAUUGUAUUUGUUUCAUUUUUUGUUUCAUUGUAUUUUCGCAAGUUUUUCACACGGG